UGGGGUAUAGCCAAGCGGUAAGGCAACGGACUUUGACUCCGUUAUCUCGCUGGAUCAAAUCCACCUACUCCAA
rnacentral:tRNA from 1 species